rnacentral:misc_RNA from 1 species
GCUGUACCUGCCUUAUACUUUGUUUUGGUGGUUGGAAGUAGUGAAGAUGAAGAUAAUAUAAAGUUUUUGAUUUGAACAUUUGGGUUUGGUGUUAUUUUAUUAUUUUUGGUUUUGGUAGUAGAGAUCGAAAAUGACUCGUCAACUAAAAUUGGUACUGGUGGUAGUCGCAUUAGCUGCAUUGCGUAAAAAUUAGGUUUCUCUUAAAAGAUUAUAUACGAGUUAAGAUGUUAAGACUAAGUUAUUUUGUCUUCUUUUUCUUGUUUUUGGCACUUCUUUUACAACCCAAG